UGGUAGUNCACGCCGUAAACGAUGAGUGCUAGGUGUUAGACCCUUUCCGGGGUUUAGUGCCGCAGCUAACGCAUUAAGCACUCCGCCUGGGGAGUACGACCGCAAGGUUGAAACUCAAAGGAAUUGACGGGGGCCCGCACAAGCGGUGGAGCAUGUGGUUUAAUUCGAAGCAACGCGAAGAACCUUACCAGGUCUUGACAUCCCUCUGACCGCUCUAGAGAUAGAGUUUUCCUUCGGGACAGAGGUGACAGGUGGUGCAUGGUUGUCGUCAGCUCGUGUCGUGAGAUGUUGGGUUAAGUNNNNNANNNNNNCGCAACCCCUAUUGUUAGUUGCCAUCAUUCAGUUGGGCACUCUAGCGAGACUGCCGGUAAUAAACCGGAGGAAGGUGGGGAUGACGUCAAAUCAUCAUGCCCCUUAUGACCUGGGCUACACACGUGCUACAAUGGCUGGUACAACGAGUCGCAAGCCGGUGACGGCAAGCUAAUCUCUUAAAGCCAGUCUCAGUUCGGAUUGUAGGCUGCAACU
rnacentral:rRNA from 1 species